rnacentral:rRNA from 1 species
UGGCGGACGGGUGAGUAACGCGUGGGUAACCUGCCUUACACAGGGGGAUAACACUUAGAAAUAGGUGCUAAUACCGCAUGAGCGCACAGGACCGCAUGGUCGAGUGUGAAAAACUGAGGUGGUGUAAGAUGGACCCGCGUCUGAUUAGCUAGUUGGUGAGGUAACGGCCCACCAAGGCGACGAUCAGUAGCCGGCCUGAGAGGGUGAACGGCCACAUUGGGACUGAGACACGGCCCAAACUCCUACGGAAGGCAGCAG